rnacentral:rRNA from 1 species
UACAGAGGUCUCAAGCGUUGUUCGGAUUCAUUGGGCGUAAAGGGUGCGUAGGUGGCGAGGUUAGUCAGGUGUGAAAUCUCGGGGCUCAACCCCGAAACUGCACUUGAUACUGCCUUGCUAGAGUACUGGAGAGGAGAUUGGAAUUUACGGUGUAGCAGUGAAAUGCGUAGAUAUCGUAAGGAAGACCAGUGGCGAAGGCGAAUCUCUGGACAGUUACUGACACUGAGGCACGAAGCCAGGGGAGCAAACGGG